UCUCCCAUAAUGCAACGUUGUCAGGGACUCCAUUUUACUUGUUUUGAUGAAGCGGUAAUAAGAGUUUAACACGUUUUAAAGAUGACGGACACUGCAGUAGAUGACACGACCACCAGUAACACGUACAUCAUUAGACCAAACUUCCAACACAAAUUUAGACCUGUGAUUGUAAAAGAAACCAUACAUAAUGUAUUGAAUGAACACUUAAGUGGGAAAACAUAUGACACAGAGGAAACCACAGAGUGGACACGACUGAUAUCAGACGACAUCAAACUCAAAUUAAAAGAUCUGGGAUAUGACAGAUAUAAAUUUGUGGUACAAGUUGUUAUCGGGGAACAAAGAGGGGAGGGUGUAAAGAUGGGAUGUCGGUGCUUCUGGGAUUCUGAUACAGACAGCUACGCUCAGGAUAUAUUUAUGAAUGUAAGUCAAGUAGUCCACGAUAUAGGUGUAUGAUUAGAGAUCUCGGGUAGUCCAUAAUAUAGGUGUAUGAGAUCUCGGGUAGUCCAUGAUAUAGGUGUGUGAUUAGAGAUCUCAGGUAGUCCACGAUAUAGGUGUAUGAUUAGAGAUCUCAGGUAGUCCACGAUAUAGGUGUAUGAUUAGAGAUCUCGGGUAGUCCACGAUAUAGGUGUAUGAUUAGAGAUCUCGGGUAGUCCAUGAUAUAGGUGUAUGAUGGGAGAUCUCGGGUAGUCCACGAUAUAGGUGUAUGAUUAGAGAUCUCGGGUUGUCCAUAAUAUAGGUGUGUGAUUAGAGAUCUUGAGUAGUCCAUGAUAUAGGUGUAUGAGAUCUCGGGUUGUCCAUGAUAUAGGUGUGUGAUUAGAGAUCUCGGGUAGUCCAUGAUAUGGGUGUGUGAUUAGAGAUCUCAGGUAGUCCAUGGUAUAGGUGUGUGAUUAGAGAUCUCAGGUAGUCCAUGAUAUAGGUGUAUGAUUAGAGAUCUCGGGGUGUAUGAGAUCUCGAGUAGUCCACGAUAUAGGUGUAUGAGAUCUCAGGUAGUCCAUGAUAUAGGUGUAUGAUGGGAGAUCUCGGGUAGUCCACGAUAUAGGUGUAUGAGAUCUCAGGUAGUCCAUGAUAUAGGUGUAUGAUGGGAGAUCUCGGGUAGUCCACAAUAUAGGUGUAUGAUUAGAGAUCUUGGGUAGUCCAUGAUAUAGGUGUAUGAUUAGAGAUCUCGGGUUGUCCAUGAUAUAGGUGUAUGAGAACUCGGGUUGUCCAUGAUAUAGGUGUAUGAGAUCUCGGGUAGUCCACGAUAUAGGUGUGUGAUUAGAGAUCUCGGGUAGUCCAUGAUAUAGGUGUGUGAUUAGAGAUCUUGUGUUGUGCUUGAUAUAGACGUAUAAUCGUUGGAGAUCUUUAGUAAAUGAUGGAACAGAUGGAGACAAAUCAAAACUUAGAUCAGCCCUAUAAUUUCCAUAGCAAAAAUGGAAGAUUCAUUGUGGUUAUAAAAUCAUUGAGAGAAGAUUAAGCCUUCCAGUGUAGUACAUAUGUACAUGUAUAUGCUAAUUACACAAUGGUAAAGGCCUUAAAACUAAUUUAUCAUAUAGCUAAUAAUUUGUUAGUUACAAACUGUUCUCUAGUUCAAGAAUAUUUUAGCAUGCAAUAUGUGGGCCAUUAUUGAAUGCUAAAUAUUUAAUUAUAAGAUCUGCACUGAAAUGUUCUGGGCAUAAGUCAACAUUAUUGCACUCUAAAUGUAAACAAAGAUGGUGGACCAAGCGUUGUUUUAUAAUCUCUGGUAGUCGGUGUCAGUGUAUUAUUUAUAAGGUAUCAAUUAUUUAUUGUAAUAUUUAACCCUGAUUUAAAGUUACAGCCAAUAUUACAUCUAUUAUACACAAUUCAUUGAAUGCAUUUAUAUCACUACAAGUAAUGUUUCAUUUUCUAAACUUCACCAGAAAAUGAACAAAUAUCUGCAGAAAACAAUUUAGAUAUGUUUUAGAUAUAUGAUAAAGGAGUUAUUGAACUUAGAUUAGUGAAUAUUAACAUUCAAUGGAUGAAAAUAACUGCUCUGACACAAGCUUGCAAAUUUCUACACCCAACUCUUGCAAAUUUUCGCCAAUGUAGGAUCAAUAACCUUUUUGAUUUUAAACUUAAUGGAAUUAGAUAGUCAUUUAUUCAUAAUACACAAUGUUUCAAUGGAUACAUUGAGAAUAAUGUAUGAUUUUUUUUGUAUACCGCACUCCAAAUAAACUCCAGACUACGAUACCAGCCUUAGGGUAGAUAUGGGAUGUGUUAUGAAAAAAAGUAAUACAUGUACAAUGUUUUAUUAUAUUUAUCACACAUAGUGAUAACAUAUAUAUGAAAUUUAUUUAAACAAUUUAUUAUUUAAAAUAUGUUAAUAUUUCGUCUAAAGAUUUUUAUUUUUAUUUUGAAUGAAUAUAUGUACAUGUAAAAAGAAGAGUUUGAAAUGGAACUUUCAUUGUAUUGCACAUGUUAUUACUGAUUAUGUAAUACAGUAUUUUGUUAUUUUAGGACUCAAUAUUUUGUGUGGCUGCAGCGUUUGGGUGCUUCUACUACUGAACUUGUGUUUUAAAAAAAGAGGACGAUAUUCUACGAUUACGAACUAUGUGAUACAGAAUUUUACCAUGAAAGUAAAUUCUAGUAUUUGAUCUUGUAUCUAAAUGUGAAGUAUUGAAGAGAGAAGUUUUUUAAACUCUUUGAAUUUUAAUGGUGAUCAUAAUGACUGAUGGGACAAGUUAAUAUCUUGUUUAGGAAAUGAAAUAGGGACUUACCUCUAGGGAAGCAUAUCAUAAAUUGUUAAUAGUUCUCAUUUCAUAUUGUUUAUAAUUUAUUUGUAUUAAACAUUUGAAAAAAAACUAAA